rnacentral:ncRNA from 12 species
GGUUGGGCGAAAUAAUUUCGUUUCAAGAGACUUGGCUUUUAGGGUGGAAAGCU